rnacentral:rRNA from 1 species
UACGUAGGGGGCUAGCGUUGUCCGGAAUCAUUGGGCGUAAAGCGCGUGUAGGCGGUUCGGUAAGUCCGCUGUGAAAGUCGGGGGCUCAACCCUCGGAUGCCGGUGGAUACUGUCGAGCUUGAGUACGGAAGAGGCGAGUGGAAUUCCUGGUGUAGCGGUGAAAUGCGCAGAUAUCAGGAGGAACACCAAUUGCGAAGGCAGCUCGCUGGGACGUUACUGACGCUGAGGAGCGAAAGCGUGGGGAGCGAACAGG